UUCUCGUUUUCUCUUUGCUAUCUUUUCAUAUUACGUCCAAGAGGAGGUUAACCGCGUUUUCUGACAUGGUUUACAUUGUGUCGCGAGGGUUCUCUCUCUGUAAACCCGUUACUUUGAGCAGAACUCCCUCUCACGGAUAUUCUCUUUCGCUCUAAACCCAGUAAAAUCAGGGCUCUCUGUAAAUCAUUUUCUCUCGAGUUGUCAUCUCCUUCUCUUUCUAAAAACCCUAUUUCCUGGAAGUUUUCAUCUCCUCUCUCUCUCUAACCUAAACCUAAAGUUCAGUUUUCUAUUCGCUUCCCCUGAUUCAAAUUCCAAACCCGAGCUUCUAUUUCUCAGAUUUCCAUUGGAGCACUGAAACUAGGAAACCCUAAACCAUGACGUAUAGAGAGAGAGAGGGACACAGGGGAAGGGAUUCUUUAGAGAGAGACCACCGGGAGAGGCAUUCUUCAGAGAGAGAGCGCAGGGAAAGGUAUUCCUUGGAGAGGGACCAUCGGGAAGGCCACCAGGAGAGGGAGAGGGAGACAAAAAAGAGUAAGAUCGAGAGCCAUAGGGAGAAAGAGAGAGACAGACACCAUGAUCAAAAGUACCAUGAGAGCAGAGACUCUAGGGCACGAGAAGGAGAGAGACACAGAGAGAAAGAAGAUCGAAGAGAGAGAGAAUCCAAGGAAACUCAAAGGUACUCGGAGAGUAAAGAUGAUCGAAGAGAGAGAGAAUCAAAGGAACCUCAAAGGUACUCAGAGAAUAAAGAUGAUCGAAGAGAGAGAGAAUCAAAGGAUACUCUAAGGUAUUCUGAGGGUAAGGAUGAUCGAAGAGAGAGAGAAUCAAAGGAAACCUCGAGGUACUCAGAGAGUAAGGGUGUUCUUGAUAGAGAUGGAUCAGUAGAGAGAAGAUCACACAAGAGGAAAGACAAUGGAGGUGAAGAGAGAUUAGAGAAGAAUGACAAGCGGCGAAGGUUUGAAGAUCGAGUUGUAGAAGAAUCUAAGGGUUCGGAAUCAAAACACAUUGAAUUGGAGAAAAAGGAAGAUAGGAAGGUUAGGAAAGAAAAGCGAAGGUUUGAGGACCAAGUAGAUGAAGAAUCCGGGGUUUCAGCUAUAAAGUCAGAGAAGAAGGAUGAGAAAAUGGAGAGGAAAGAGAGAGGGAAGAAAGAGAGCGUUAAAGAUGAAGUGGAAGACGAAACUAGGGUAGUUGGGUCUUUAGAUAGAGGAAAUGGACAACACGAGCACGCUUCAAAAGUUCAGUCUGACGAGCCCAUUUUGGGUGGAGACAUGAACGAUAAAGUUCAGAGCUUGGCGACUUCAAACGGAGUUGGUUCUCUUAACAAUGGUCCUACAUGGGAAGCGCCGUCUUCUGUGGCAUCAAGGGCCGUUCAUGCUUCUGCUUCCUCUGGUUCUCCACUUGCUACAAAGGUAUCUUUGAUUUCUACCCCUCCUGAUGAUAAGGGCCUUAGUGUUACCAGAUCUCAUGAGGCUCCUGGAAAAUCCAGUACAGAUGGGACUACAACAGCAGCUGGAAAAAGUUCUCUCUCUAUUGAUGCUUUAGCCAAAGCUAAGAAGGCUUUGCAAAUCCAGAAAGAGUUGUCUGAGAAAUUGAAGAAGUUGCCACAGUUGAGUAAACCUACUGUUUCAAGUCCAACUGGAACCACACAGGCAACACAAGCUGCUCCUUCAAUGACCAAAACACCAACAUUGACAACCCCAAGUCCCUCGACAAUGGGGACAUCAGCUUUACCAGUAACCACCAUACCUUCUGUGAACCCUGCAUCCACGUCCAUGGCAGGCAUUUCGGGGCUUACAAACAUUCCAAAUUAUGAAGCUGUAAAACGAGCACAAGAACUUGCAGCUAAGUUAGGGUUUCACCAAGACCCUGAAUUUGCCCCUCUUAUCAAUAUGUUUCCUGGACAGGCUGCUGAUGUUUCUGCGCCUCAGAGGCCUGCAAAGGCUCCUGUACUGCGUCUUGAUGCUCUUGGAAGAGAAAUUGAUGAACAUGGAAAUGUUAUAAACAUGCCUAAGCCAACCAAUCUCAGCACUUUGAAGGUCAACAUUAAUAAACAGAAGAAGGAAGCAUUCCAAAUCCUCCGGCCCGAUUUGGAUGCAGAUGGAGAAAAUAAUCCCUAUUUUGAUGAGACUAUGGGGAUCAACAAAACAAAGCUUUUAAGGCCUAAGAGGAUGAGCUUUCAGUUUGUUGAGGAAGGCAAAUGGUCAAAACAAGCAGAAAUAAUAAAAUUUAAGAGUCAAUUUGGAGAAGCACAGGCCAAGGAGCUAAGAACUAAGCAAGCCCAGCUGGCAAAGGCAAAGGCUGAACUUGAUAUCAACCCAAAUUUGAUCGAGGUUUCAGAGAGAAUUCCCAUUAAGGAAGAGAAACCGAAGGACCCCAUCCCCGACAUUGAGUGGUGGGAUGCAGUUCUGUUGCCUUCUGGGAGCUACAGUGAUGUCACAGGAGAUAAAUUCAACAUCAGAAUGGAUAAAAUCACUUGCUAUGUUGAGCAUCCCCUUCCUAUAGAGCCUCCUGCUGAGCCUGCCCCACCCCCUCCACAACCCUUGAAGCUGACCAAGAAAGAGCAAAAGAAGCUUCGGACUCAGAGGCGCCUUGCUAGGGAAAAAGAGAGGCAAGAGAUGAUAAGGCAAGGUCUGAUAGAGCCCCCAAAGCCCAAGAUCAAGAUGAGCAAUUUAAUGAAGGUUCUUGGCUCUGAAGCAACUCAAGAUCCCACGAAGCUUGAAAUGGAGAUAAGGAGUGCUGCUGCAGAGCGUGAACAGGCCCAUGUAGACAGAAACAUUGCCCGUAAGCUUACGCCUGUGGAACGCAGAGAGAAGAAAGAGAGGAAGCUUUUCGAUGAUCCAAAUACAUUCGAGACCAUAGUCUCUGUGUACAAGAUGAACGACCUCUCUCAUAAGCAAACUCGCUUCAAAGUGGAUAUCAAUGCUCAAGAGAAUAGGCUUACAGGUUGUGCUGUGAUUUUCGAUGGGUUUAGUGUGGUGGUUGUAGAAGGGGGGAGCAAGUCUAUCAAAAGGUAUGGUAAGCUAAUGCUUAGAAGGAUCAAUUGGGCAGCUGCUGUUUCGAAUGAAGAGGAGGGGGAUGAUAAAGAGGAUGCUCCUGUCAACAAAUGCUUGCUAGUUUGGCAGGGGAGCGUUGCCAAACCGAGUUUUAAUAGAUUUUUUUUCCAUGAGUGCCGAACUGAAGCGGCUGCCCGUAAAGUUUUUGCUGAUGCUGGGGUUGCCCACUAUUGGGAUCUGGCUGCAAAUUUCACCGAAGAAGAUAUAUAAGCCGGGUUCUCUUGAUUAAUGGAUAUUUUUACCUAGUCAUUUGGGAUUCAAUUAUGUUGGAGCUGGACCUCUGCAUCUUCUACAAUGGGCUUAUCUGGUGUUAGCUGAAGGCGAAGUCCUUGGGGUUAGAGGCAAGGAGAUCUAUUUGAGGUUUAAAUACCAUUGCAAUUCUGCAGGGGUUUGUUAUUAGAGUGAAACCAUUUGGUCUUUUGGCUUUAUUCAUGGCAUGGUUAUAUGGGGCAUUGUUUUGUAAGGCUGGUUCUCGCUGAAUGGACAUAAUUUGAAAGAUGGAGCACAAAGAUGCUUUCGUUACCAAGGAGUCGAUGAGAUCAAAUUGAACAUAUACUGAUGCAAAACAAACAACAGUAUGCAUGCAGUACUAUCCUCCCACUUGAGAGUUGGUAUGGUGUUGAUACAGUAAUUUCUUUUAAGUUGGUAUGGUGUUGAUUGGAAUUUUAAUUUUAAUCUUUUGUGUCUCUUUACGAGUAACUAUUUAUCGUUGAAGUUGUACAGGUGCCACACCAUCACUUGUUAAUGCAAUAUUUUAUGAAUUAUACACUAUCUAUGAUUGUCUCAUCUUAGGAUUGGGGCAGUCGGCGGGGGACUGGAGAAUUCAAAAUUA